rnacentral:rRNA from 1 species
UACGGAGGAUGCAAGCGUUAUCCGGAAUUAUUGGGCGUAAAGGGUCCGCAGGUGGCCGUGUAAGUCUGCUGUCAAAGAAUGAGGCUUAACCUUAUCAAGGCAGUGGAAACUACACAGCUAGAGUACGGUCGGGGUAGAAGGAAUUCCUGGUGUAGCGGUGAAAUGCGUAGAGAUCAGGAAGAACACCGGUGGCGAAAGCGUUCUGCUAGACCUGUACUGACACUGAGGGACGAAAGCUAGGGGAGCGAAUGGG